rnacentral:lncRNA from 1 species
AGCAGUUUCACUCUGCUCUCACAGUCCAUCCUGCAAAGAGGCACUGUGUUGCUGCUCUGUGAUUUGAAGCAGCAAUACCCAUGGCUUCAGCAGCCUACACUCUACUCUUCACCCUGUGCAAUGUUUGGAGCUUGAUCAAUGGAGCUGCUGUGGCUGUCCCAGAUGUUGCUGUGACAUGCUUUGAAGAAGCUUUGCUGUCCUGUAAAGUUCUUCAGGAUUCCUCGAUCGCCUACCAGGCAGUGUCUUGGCACAAAAUGGCUGGAGUUGGCGACAGAAUA